UCUUCUUUUGUUCCGACAAUAUGGACGACCAGCGUGCGAUCUUGAAUACAAAAAUGGUCGAUUUGUCAUCGACAGUAUUUUCAAUGAGAAAUAUGACCAAGUGGGAAGAUAAUUUUUGAAAACAUUAAGAUUCUCUGGACUAGAGUGGAAUGUCAUGGCCUUUUUGUGUUUUCAUUUGCAUACAAUCAAGAUCUCGCCUUAAUCCUAGCCUGCAAAUGCUGAUCACCUUUGUUGUGGAUCAUAAGCUAAAGCAGCUACAGAUAUUAUAGUCAACACAAACAUGGCAAUAUGAAAGCACAAUGUAAACACACUCUCAAGGUUUAUAUUCAAAACGAGAAGGAGUAGUUGACAGAAUUCCAGGAGAGAAUCUAAUCUUCCCACAGAGCGAAAGCUGUCCCAACAAGAACUUCUUUUCGAUUGGAAGA